rnacentral:rRNA from 1 species
UGGGGAAUAUUGCGCAAUGGGCGAAAGCCUGACGCAGCCACGCCGCGUGUGUGAUGAAGGCCUUCGGGUUGUAAAGCACUGUCGAGGGGGAAGAACCAAAUGACGGUACCCCUCAAGAAAGCGCCGGCUAACCCUGUGCCAGCAGCCGCGGUAAUACAGGGGGCGCGAGCGUUGCUCGGAAUCACUGGGCGUAAAGCGUACGCAGGCGGGCCGAUAAGUCUGUCGUGAAAUCCCGGGGCUCAACCCCGGAACUGCGAUGGAGACUGUCGGUCUUGAGUACGGGAGAGGGGAGUGGAAUUCCUGGUGUAGAGGUGAAAUUCGUAGAUAUCAGGAGGAACACCGGUGGCGAAAGCGGCUCCCUGGCCCGAUACUGACGCUCAUGUACGAAAGCGUGGGGAGC